UGGGGAAUCUUGGACAAUGGGGGCAACCCUGAUCCAGCCAUGCCGCGUGAGUGAUGAAGGCCUUAGGGUCGUAAAGCUCUUUCGCCUGUGAAGAUAAUGACGGUAGCCGGAGAAGAAGCCCCGGCUAACUCCGUGCCAGCAGCCGCGGUAAUACGGAGGGGGCUAGCGUUGUUCGGAAUUACUGGGCGUAAAGCGCGCGUAGGCGGAUUGUUAAGUCGGGGGUGAAAUCCCGGGGCUCAACCCCGGAACUGCCUUCGAUACUGGCAAUCUAGAGAUCUGGAGAGGCGAGUGGAAUUCCGAGUGUAGAGGUGAAAUUCGUAGAUAUUCGGAGGAACACCAGUGGCGAAGGCGGCUCGCUGGCCAGAUACUGACGCUGAGGCGCGAAAGCGUGGGGAGCAAACAGGAUUAGAUACCCUGGUAGUCCACGCCGUAAACGAUGAGCACUCGGUGCCGCGGGUAUCGACCCCUGCGGUGCCUGAGCUAACGCAUUAAGUGCUCCGCCUGGGGAGUACGGUCGCAAGGCUG
rnacentral:rRNA from 1 species